UAGGGAAUAUUGCACAAUGGACGAAAGUCUGAUGCAGCAACGCCGCGUGAGUGAAGAAGGCCCUUGGGUCGUAAAGCUCUUUAGCGAGGAAAGAAGCUGCUUGCGGUGAAUAAUCGCAAGUGGUGACGGUACCUCGAGAAUAAGCACCGGCUAAUUUCGUGCCAGCAGCCGCGGUAAUACGAAAGGUGCGAGCGUUACUCGGAAUCACUGGGCGUAAAGCGCGCGUAGGUCGACUUGUAGGUCGGUUGUGAAAUACCUGGGCUCAACCCAGGAGGGGCAGCCGAAACCACAAGUCUUGAAUACUUGAGAGGGUGGGGGAAUACCUGGUGGAGAAGUGAAAUUCGUAGAGAUCAGGUGGAACACCGGAGGCGAAGGCGCCUGCCUGGCAAUGUAUUGACGCUGAAGUGCGAAAGUGCGGGGAGCAAACAGG
rnacentral:rRNA from 1 species